GUGGGGAAUAUUGGACAAUGGGGGGAACCCUGAUCCAGCCAUGCCGCGUGUGUGAAGAAGGCCUUUUGGUUGUAAAGCACUUUAAGCGAGGAGGAGGCUCUUCUAGUUAAUACCUAGGAUGAGUGGACGUUACUCGCAGAAUAAGCACCGGCUAACUCUGUGCCAGCAGCCGCGGUAAUACAGAGGGUGCGAGCGUUAAUCGGAUUUACUGGGCGUAAAGCGUACGUAGGCGGCUUUUUAAGUCGGAUGUGAAAUCCCUGAGCUUAACUUAGGAAUUGCAUUCGAUACUGGGAAGCUAGAGUAUGGGAGAGGAUGGUAGAAUUCCAGGUGUAGCGGUGAAAUGCGUAGAGAUCUGGAGGAAUACCGAUGGCGAAGGCAGCCAUCUGGCCUAAUACUGACGCUGAGGUACGAAAGCAUGGGGAGCAAACAGGAUUAGAUACCCUUGUAGUCC
rnacentral:rRNA from 1 species